UUUAAAAUAAAGUGCUUUGAACUGUAUUUGUUUCUGUGGUAGGGUGAUGAAGUGCCAGCUUCCUGGCACAGAAAAUAUGUUAGUGUUGAUGCCCCAUUGGACAAGAUCCCACUCUUUCUCCGUGGAGGUUACAUUCUGCCAACACAAGCACCAGCCACAACUACUACUCGGAGCCGUCUGAACCCAUUUGGACUUAUUAUUGCUCUGGAUGAACGAGGAGAAGCCUCUGGGUCCCUCUUCUGGGAUGAUGGUGAUUCUAUUGAUUCUAUUGAAAAGGAAGUCUAUUUCUUGGCCAAAUAUACAUUCAGUGAAGGCCAAAUGAGGACAAAGAUUGUCAAAAAUGGCUACCGUGGAGUUGAUUCUCUGAUAUACAACACUGUUCAGGUUCUUGGUGUGACUUCAAGACCUAAUGCUAUUGUUUUGAAUGGAAAUGUCAUCCGUGGCAAGGACUUACAGUAUCAAGAAAAUGGGAAACUCACCCUACAGAUUUCUGUACCACUUACUGAGGAGCUGAACAUUAUACUUCAGUAGAAUAUUAAGAAAGUGUG